rnacentral:lncRNA from 8 species
GCCAUGGAUGGAGACAGAAAACAUCAUUGAGAGAGAGAGAUAGAAAAAGAGAGAGACAGAAAGAGAGAGAGAGAGACAGAAAGAGAGAGACAGAAAGAGAGAGACAGAAAGAGAGAGAGACAGCAAGAGAGAGAGAGAAAGAGAGAGAGACAGAAAGAGAGAGAGAGAAAGAGAGAGAGACAGAAAGAGAGAGAUAGAAAAAGAGAGAGACAGAAAGAGAGAGACAGAAAGAGAGAGACAGAAAGAGAGAGAGACAGAAAGAGAGAGACAGAAAGAGAGAGACAGAAAGAGAGAGAGAGAAAGAGAGAGAGACAGAAAGAGAGAGACAGAAAGAGAGACAGACAGAGAGAGAGACAGAUACAACAAGUGUGCGGUUGUGCAGAAACAACACACAUUUCUUCCCACAGGGCCGUGGGGUGAGACAGGGAUGCAGCUUGAGCCCCACCCUCUUCAACAUAUAUAUCAACGAAUUGGUGAGGGCACUAGAAAAGUCUGAAGGGCCCGGCCUCACACUACUAGAAUCUGAAGUCAAAUGUCUACUGACUGCUGAAGAUCUGGUUCUUCUGUCACCAACCAAGGAGGGCCUACAGCAGCACCUAGAUAUUCUGCACAGAUUCUGCCAGACCUGGGCCCUGACAGUAAAUCUCAGUAAGACCAAAAUAAUGGUGUUCCAAAAAAGGUCCAGUUGCCAGGACCACAAAUACAAAUUCCAUCUAGACACUGUUGCCCUAGAGCACACAAAAAAAAAUACCUACCUUGGCCUAAACAUCAGAGCCACAGGUAACUUCUACAAAGCUGUGAACAAUCUGAGAGACAAGGCAAGAAGGGCAUUCUAUGCCAUCAAAAGGAACAUAACAUUUGACAUACCAAUUAGGAUCUGGCAAAAAAUACUUGAAUCAGUUAAAGAACCCAUUGCCCUUUAUGGUAUUGAGGUCUGGGGUCCGCUCACCAACCAAGAAUUCACAAAAUGGGACAAACACCAAAUUGAGACUCUGCAUGCAGAAUUCUGCAAAACAAUAUCCUCAGCGUACAACGUAGAACACCAAAUAAUGCAUGCAAAGCAGAAUUAGGCUAAUACCCACUAACUAUCAAAAUCCAGAAAAGAGACGUUAAA